rnacentral:rRNA from 1 species
UACGUAGGGCGCAAGCGUUUGUCCGGAAUUAUUGGGCGUAAAGAGCUCGUAGGCGGUUUGUCGCGUCUGCUGUGAAAACUCGAGGCUCAACCUCGGGCUUGCAGUGGGUACGGGCAGACUAGAGUGAUGUAGGGGAGACUGGAAUUCCUGGUGUAGCGGUGAAAUGCGCAGAUAUCAGGAGGAACACCGAUGGCGAAGGCAGGUCUCUGGGCCGUAACUGACGCUGAGGAGCGAAAGCAUGGGGAGCGAACAGG